AACUUAAGAAAUCUUCUGUUUUAGAAUUGAAAGAAAUUAUUAUUUAAAAUAAUCUUUUAUUUAUGAAAAAAACAGAUCUUUUAUCAAUGGUAAUAUCAAUGUUCAUGAAAGAUCUUAGCACAAAAAGAAGGAAAAUAAAAAAUUUAUGUAAUUCACAGAUAUAGAUGUGUAAAUAUAUUAUAUACAUAUAUACGUGAGCAAUAUUUUUAUGCAAAAAUAUUUAAGUGAUGCACUUACAGAAGUGAUUUUCCUGUACGAUUCUCAAAAUUGCGCAAUUAACCUCCAUAAAAAUGAAUAAAAGUAUCGCUAGUCCACCGCGAAAAUUCAUUUCCAACAAGGAAAGUGCACCAACUGUCUUCUUCGACCCCCCGUGACAUCAUAUCUGUAUUAAAUAGACACACACACAUUGAGAGUAAAUAAAUGAAGAAAAGAUGUUUCAUACUAUAUUUAACGAAGAUGUAAGAGAAGUAGCAAGAGCACGAGUAAUCCUUGCGGUGGAUCGAUCACUGGAACGAGUAAAUCCUUCGAAGGAACUUACUUAGAAGAAAGUGAUCGUUAACGAUUGCCAUCGAAGAAGGGGAAUAUAUUUGCGAUCACGACGAACGAGUGGAAACUGGCAGCUCUUAAACAGACGAAUAUCGCUCUCACUAACGAAAGUUACCUCUCUGGUAUCACUGUGCCUCUUCCUCGCUCUUUUCAUACCAAUUAGAAACAUUCGUCUCGCUCGGAUGCGAUUAUGAAUCCGUGUAUCUUUAUAAUGUUUUAUAAAUCCAAUUAAAAUGAUCUUUCGAUCAAUAGGAUAUUGAUUCCCUUUUUGAUAUUUUUAUAUUUUGUUUACAAUUUUAUUUUUCGUU